UUAAUUAUAUUAUUAUCAGUAAAUAUGAUCUGAAAGGAUACUAUUGUGUGAAAAUUAGGUGAAUCUUGUUUUAUGAUCAGUUUUUGUAAAUGCCCAGAUGUGUUUGAGAAUGUGAAUGUAUAUCAUAUAUGCCGAAACAUGUAUAUGUUCAUUAAGUCUAACUUGUUCAAUCUGGUUUUAAAACCUUACUUGCCUUUCCUGAUUGUUUUGUUUGACUUUUCAGUAACUGAGAGAAAUGUGAUGAUCCACUAGAUUGUCUGAUUCUCCCUAUUAAAAGUGUGUUGUAGGUAUUUUGAGGCUGUUUUAUUUGGUUAAUCUUUCUUAAUAAGAUGGUCACAGAAGUUUGGUAGAUUGAAUAUUUGUAAUCAUAGAAUAGCCCACCCAGUUUCUAUCUCCCUUAUUGAUACUGGUUUUUUUUCUUU